CGUGCUUAACACAUGCAAGUCGAACGAAGAUAUUUAGAAUGAGAGCUUCGGCAGGAUUUUUAUCUAUCUUAGUGGCGGACGGGUGAGUAACGUGUGGGCAACCUGCCCUGUACUGUGGAAUAAUCAUUGGAAACGAUGACUAAUACCGCAUGUGGUCCUCGGAAGGCAUCUUCUGAGGAAGAAAGGAUUUAUUCGGUACAGGAUGGGCCCGCAUCUGAUUAGCUAGUUGGUGAGAUAACAGCCCACCAAGGCGACGAUCAGUAGCCGACCUGAGAGGGUGAUCGGCCACAUUGGGACUGAGACACGGCCCAAACUCCUACGGGAGGCAGCAGUGGGGAAUAUUGCACAAUGGGCGAAAGCCUGAUGCAGCAACGCCGCGUGAAGGAUGAAGGGUUUCGGCUCGUAAACUUCUAUCAAUAGGGAAGAAACAAAUGACGGUACCUAAAUAAGAAGCCCCGGCUAACUACGUGCCAGCAGCCGCGGUAAUACGUAGGGGGCAAGCGUUAUCCGGAAUUACUGGGUGUAAAGGGAGCGUAGGCGGCAUGGUAAGCCAGAUGUGAAAGCCUUGGGCUUAACCCGAGGAUUGCAUUUGGAACUAUCAAGCUAGAGUACAGGAGAGGAAAGCGGAAUUCCUAGUGUAGCGGUGAAAUGCGUAGAUAUUAGGAAGAACACCAGUGGCGAAGGCGGCUUUCUGGACUGAAACUGACGCUGAGGCUCGAAAGCGUGGGGAGCAAACAGGAUUAGAUACCCUGGUAGUCCACGCCGUANACGAUGAGUGCUAGGUGUCGGGGAGGAAUCCUCGGUGCCGCAGCUAACGCAAUAAGCACUCCACCUGGGGAGUACGACCGUCAGGUUGAAACUCAAAAGGAUUUGACGGGGGCCCCGCACAAGCGGUGGGAGCAUGUGGUUUAAUUCGAAGCAACGCGAAAGAACCUUACCAAAGGCUUGACAUCCCGAUAACCGCUAUAGAGAUAGAGCUUCUCUUCGGAGCAUCGGUGACAGGUGGUGCAUGGUUGUCGUCAGCUCGUGUCGUGAGAUGUUGGGUUAAGUCCCGACAACGAGCGCAACCCUUAUCUUCAGUAGCCAUCAUUCAGUUGGGCACUCUGGAGAGACUGCCGUGGAUAACACGGAGGAAGGUGGGGAUGACGUCAAAUCAUCAUGCCCCUUAUGUCUUGGGCUACACACGUGCUACAAUGGCUGGUAACAAAGUGACGCAAGACGGUGACGUUAAGCAAAUCACAAAAACCCAGUCCCAGUUCGGAUUGUAGUCUGCAACUCGACUACAUGAAGCUGGAAUCGCUAGUAAUCGCGAAUCAGCAUGUCGCGGUGAAUACGUUCCCGGGCCUUGUACACACCGCCCGUCACACCAUGGGAGCCGGGGGUACCUGAAGUGCGUAACCAAGAGGAGCGCCCUAGGGUAAAACUGGUGACUGGGGCUA
rnacentral:rRNA from 1 species